UUAUUAGAUUAAAAGCCAACGCCCUUCGGGGCUUCCUGGUGAUUCAUAAUAACUUUUCGAAUCGCAUGGCCUUGCGCCGGCGAUGGUUCAUUCAAAUUUCUUCCCUAUCAACUUUCGAUGCGAAGGUAUUGUCUUCGCAUGGUUGCAACGGGUAACGGAGGGUUAGGGCUCGACCCCGGAGAAGGAGCCUGAGAAACGGCUACUACAUCCAAGGAAGGCAGCAGGCGCGCAAAUUACCCAAUCCCGACACGGGGAGGUAGUGACAAUAAAUACUGAUACAGGGCUCUUUUGGGUCUUGUAAUCGGAAUGAGUACAAUUUAAAUCCCUUAACGAGGAACAAUUGGAGGGCAAGUCUGGUGCCAGCAGCCGCGGUAAUUCCAGCUCCAAUAGCGUAUAUUAAAGUUGUUGUGGUUAAAAAGCUCGUAGUUGAACCUUGGGCCUGGCUGGCCGGUCCCCCUCACCGGGUGCACUGAUCCAGCCGGG
rnacentral:rRNA from 1 species